CCUACGGGUGGCAGCAGUGGGGAAUAUUGCACAAUGGGGGAAACCCUGAUGCAGCGACGCCGCGUGCGUGAAGAAGUAUCUCGGUAUGUAAAGCUCUAUUAGCAGGGAAGAAAAUGACGGUACCUGACUAAGAAGCUCUGGCUAAAUACGUGCCAGCAGCCGCGGUAAUACGUAGGGGGCAAGCGUUAUCCGGAUUUACUGGGUGUAAAGGGAGCGUAGGCGGCCAGACAAGUCAGAAGUGAAAGCCCAGGGCUCAACCCUGGGACUGCAUUUGAAACUGGCGGGCUGGAGUGCAGGAGAGGUGGGCGGAAUUCGUGGUGUAGCGGUGAAAUGCGUAGAUAUUAGGAAGAACACCGGUGGCGAAGGCAGCUUACUGGACUGUAACUGACGUUGAGGCUCGAAAGCGUGGGGAGCAAACAGGAUUAGAUACCCCUGUAGUC
rnacentral:rRNA from 1 species